GGAGACAACAACACACAGGUCAGGAGACAACAACACAGGUCAGGAGACAACAAAACACAGGUCAGGAGACAGCAACACAGGUCAGGAGACAACAACACAGGUCAGGAGACAACAACACAGGUCAGGAGACAGCAACACAGGUCAGGAGACAACAAAACACAGGUCAGGAGACAACAACACAGGUCAGGAGACAGCAACACAGGUCAGGAGACAGCAACACAGGUCAGGAGACAACAACACAGGUCAGGAGACAACAACACAGGUCAGGAGACAACAACACAGGUCAGGAGACAGCAACACAGGUCAGGAGACAACAACACAGGUCAGGAGACAGCAACACAGGUCAGGAGACAACAACACAGGUCAGGAGACAACAACACAGGUCAGGAGACAACAGGCUGGUUGGAGUUGUGUGUGCGCGUGUGUGUGUGUGUGUGUGUCUGUGUGUGACACCAUGGAGGAAGGACUCAGCAGCACAGGUCAGGAGACAACAGGCUGGUUGGAGUUGUGUGUGCGCGUGUGUGUGUGUGUGUGUGUGUGUGUGUGUCUGUGUGUGACACCAUGGAGGAAGGACUCAGCAGCACAGGUCAGGAGACAGCCGUCUCGUUGGAGAUGAGCCAGGUCACGGCGUUCGCCGCCCAAUGCAUGCUGGGUAGCUCUGUGUCCGACUUGAUCCGGAUUCGCUCUGACGUCAUGCACACGUGGGCAACAAUAAGUCAAGUCGGCUUUAUUGUCAGAUGUUCUAUACAUGCAUGACAUACGGCACAAAUGAAAUUUCAGUCCUCUCAGACCCCCGGUGCAAAAUGCAAUAAAAAUAAAUAAGAGAAUUCUGGUCGAUUUCAGUUGUUUUUUGAUGGAAAAAAUAAGUUUUGGAAUAUUGGAUUGUAUGAGUUCGUCAACUGACUUGUGUGUACUUCACCGGAACACCGGCAGCUAAACAGAGGUAUGUGCACUAGAGGUGUUGAAAUUAAUCAAAUAAUCGAUGCAUGGAAUCAUGGACUUCGAAGAUGCUGCAUCGAUAAUCGGCCGGCUCAUAAUCAAUUAUUUCUGUUUA